CCUGACGGCAUUAGCGAACGGGAACCACCCGAUCCCAUUCCGAACUCGGAAGUGAAAACGUUCUGCGCCGAUGGUAGUGUGGCUUCAGCCAUGUGAGAGUAGGUCACUGUCAGGC
rnacentral:rRNA from 1 species